CAAUAGCGUAUAUUAAAGUUGUUGCAGUUAAAAAGCUCGUAGUUGGAUUUCUGGUUGAAGCGACCGGUCGGGCGUUGAUUCGUCUGCACUGGAGUCGGUUUUGGCCAUCCUCUAGGAAAGUGCGUCUGGUAUUAAGUUAUCGGGCGUAUGAUCCUGGUCUUUUACUGUGAAAAAAUUAGAGUGUUUAAAGCAGGCCUUCGCCUUGAAUACAUUAGCAUGGAAUAAUAAGAUAGGACUUUGGUCUAUUUUGGUGGUUUGCAGACCGAAGUAAUGAUUAAUAGGGAUAGUUGGGGGUAUUUAUAUUCCGAUGUCAGAGGUGAAAUUCUUAGAUUUUCGGAAGAUAAACUUAUGCGAAAGCAUUUACCAAGGAUGUUUUCAUUAA
rnacentral:rRNA from 1 species